rnacentral:rRNA from 1 species
CCUACGGGGGGCAGCAGUGAGGAAUAUUGGUCAAUGGCCGAAAGUCUGAACCAGCCAAGUAGCGUGAAGGAUGACUGCCCAGUGGGUUGUAGACUUCUUUUGUAUGGGAAUAAAACGUUCCACGUGUGGGGUUUUGUAUGUACCAUAUGAAUAAGGAUCGGCUAACUCCGUGCCAGCAGCCGCGGUAAUACGGAGGAUCCGAGCGUUAUCCGGAUUUAUUGGGUUUAAAGGGAGCGUAGGUGGAUUGUUAAGUCAGUGGUGAAAGUCUGCGGCUCAACCGUAAAAUUGCAGUUGAAACUGGCAGUCUUGAGUACAGUAGAGGUGGGCGGAAUUCGUGGUGUAGCGGUGAAAUGCUUAGAUAUCACGAAGAACUCCGAUUGCGAAGGCAGUUCACCGGACUGCAACUGACACUGAGGCUCGAAAGUGUGGGUAUCAAACAGGAUUAGAUACCCUUGUAGUC